CUCGGAGAGAAUCACACAGUGAAAAACAGGAAACCAGUGUACGUCACAUCCAGUCUCCCUUUCCCGUGAGAAACUCCAACAGUACAGACUGUGGAAUGUAAACACCUGUCUCAUGACAAGCAGUUGCUGCUCAGUGAAGGAAAUAGAAACCAACAUCCUCCCCCUUUCUGUGAACAUCACUGGGCAGCGUGUUCGUACAGUAUCAGUACAAACCCAACUUCUGCACAUAGGUACAGUGUUGAUCCCUUGAUACAAUCUUGGACAAUACAUCAGCAGGAAUUUCAUUACCUGGCAUAUAGGACACCGUUACGAGUCCCUUCUGAAUACAUUCC
rnacentral:lncRNA from 1 species